rnacentral:tRNA from 1 species
GCAUUGGUGGUUCAGUGGUAGAAUUCUUGCUUUCCAUGCAGGAGACCCACGUUCAAUUUCUGGCCAAGGCA